UACGUAGGGUGCAAGCGUUAAUCGGAAUUACUAGGCGUAAAGCGUGCGCAGGCGGUUUUGUAAGUCUGUCGUGAAAGCCCCGGGCUCAACCUGGGAAUUGCGUUGGAGACUGCAAGGCUAGAAUCUGGCAGAGGGGGGUAGAAUUCCACGUGUAGCAGUGAAAUGCGUAGAGAUGUGGAGGAACACCGAUGGCGAAGGCAGCCCCCUGGGUCAAGAUUGACGCUCAUGCACGAAAGCGUGGGGAGCAAACAGG
rnacentral:rRNA from 1 species